GGAACAUACUGCAGGUGAAACCAAAGAAUUUUAGCCAAAACUCUUGAGAAGCUCUCUGAAAAAUAUGGGCCGGUCUUCUCAGUGCAACUGGGUUCAACUCCAGUAGUGGUGCUGUCUGGAUAUGAGGUGGUGA